CCGUGCUAUGCGGGGAGUUAGCGAUGCCCUGUUAUCCGCAAUUCGCUUAGCGGAGCAGAAUGCUUUUCGAGGCUUACGUGGUGGGAAGCAGCGUUAUAUAAGGAACGUUGAUUUUAAGGUCUUAUGCAACGCGUCACCGCGAACCGUGUCAGAGCAGGAAUGCAGCAGCACUAAACGGACCGGCUCGUGUGCCAUAAGGUUGCUUUAGAGGAGUCACCUGUAUAAC
rnacentral:SRP_RNA from 1 species